ACCCGCUGAACUUAAGCAUAUCAAUAAGCGGAGGAAAAGAAACCAACAGGGAUUGCCCUAGUAACGGCGAGUGAAGCGGCAACAGCUCAAAUUUGAAAUCUGGCGUCUUUGGCGUCCGAGUUGUAAUUUGCAGAGGGCGCUUUGGCAUUGGCAGCGGUCCAAGUUCCUUGGAACAGGACGUCACAGAGGGUGAGAAUCCCGUACGUGGUCGCUAGCCUUUACCGUGUAAAGCCCCUUCGACGAGUCGAGUUGUUUGGGAAUGCAGCUCUAAAUGGGAGGUAAAUUUCUUCUAAAGCUAAAUACUGGCCAGAGACCCAUAGCGCACAAGUAGAGUGAUCAAAGAUGAAAAGCACUUUGGAAAGAGAGUUAAAAAGCACGUGAAAUUGUUGAAAGGGAAGCGCUUGCAGCCAGACUUGCCUGUAGUUGCUCAUCCGGGUUUUUACCCGGUGCACUCUUCUAUAGGCAGGCCAGCAUCAGUUUGGGCGGUUGGAUAAAGGUCUCUGUCACGUACCUCCUCUCGGGGAGAACUUAUAGGGGAGACGUAAUGCAACCAGCCUGGACUGAGGUCCGCGCAUCUGCUAGGAUGCUGGCGUAAUGGCUGUAAGCGGCCCGUCUUGAAACACGGACCAAGGAGUCUAACAUCUAUGCGAGUGUUUGGGUGUCAAGCCCGAGCGCGUAAUGAAAGUGAACGGAGGUGGGAACCUUUCGGGGUGCACCAUCGACCGAUCCUGAUGUCUUCGGAUGGAUUUGAGUAAGAGCAUAGCUGUUGGGACCCGAAAGAUGGUGAACUAUGCUUGAAUAGGGUGAAGCCAGAGGAAACUCUGGUGGAGGCUCGCAGCGGUUCUGACGUGCAAAUCGAUCGUCAAAUUUGGGCAUAGGGGCGAAAGACUAAUCGAACUAUCUAGUA
rnacentral:rRNA from 1 species